GCAGUCGAGCGANNGAUAAGGAGCUUGCUCCUUUGACGUUAGCGGCGGACGGGUGAGUAACACGUGGGUAACCUACCUAUAAGACUGGAAUAACUCCGGGAAACCGGGGCUAAUGCCGGAUAACAUGUUGAACCGCAUGGUUCUACAGUGAAAGGCGGCUUUGCUGUCACUUAUAGAUGGACCCGCGCCGUAUUAGCUAGUUGGUGAGGNNNNGGCUCACCAAGGCAACGAUACGUAGCCGACCUGAGAGGGUGAUCGGCCACACUGGAACUGAGACACGGUCCAGACUCCUACGGGAGGCAGCAGUAGGGAAUCUUCCGCAAUGGGCGAAAGCCUGACGGAGCAACGCCGCGUGAGUGAUGAAGGUCUUCGGAUCGUAAAACUCUGUUAUUAGGGAAGAACAAAUGCGUAAGUAACUGUGCGCGUCUUGACGGUACCUAAUCAGAAAGCCACGGCUAACUACGUGCCAGCAGCCGCGGUAAUACGUAGGUGGCAAGCGUUAUCCGGAAUUAUUGGGCGUAAAGCGCGCGUAGGCGGUUUUUUAAGUCUGAUGUGAAAGCCCACGGCUCAACCGUGGAGGGUCAUUGGAAACUGAAAAACUUGAGUGCAGAAGAGGAAAGUGGAAUUCCAUGUGUAGCGGUGAAAUGCGCAGAGAUAUGGAGGAACACCAGUGGCGAAGGCGACUUUCUGGUCUGUAACUGACGCUGAUGUGCGAAAGCGUGGGGAUCAAACAGGA
rnacentral:rRNA from 1 species